AGUGAACGCUGGCGGCAGGCCUAACACAUGCAAGUCGAACGGCAGCGGGUCAGUAGCAAUACUGAUGCCGGCGAGUGGCGGACGGGUGAGGAAUACAUCGGAAUCUACCCUGUCGUGGGGGAUAACGUAGGGAAACUUACGCUAAUACCGCAUACGACCCACGGGUGAAAGCGGCGGACCGCAAGGCGUCGCGCGAUUGGAUGAGCCGAUGUCCGAUUAGCUAGUUGGCGGGGUAAAGGCCCACCAAGGCGACGAUCGGUAGCUGGUCUGAGAGGAUGAUCAGCCACACUGGGACUGAGACACGGCCCAGACUCCUACGGGAGGCAGCAGUGGGGAAUAUUGGACAAUGGGCGGAAGCCUGAUCCAGCCAUGCCGCGUGUGUGAAGAAGGCCUUUUGGUUGUAAAGCACUUUAAGCGAGGAGGAGGCUCUUAAGGUUAAUACCCUUGAUGAGUGGACGUUACUCGCAGAAUAAGCACCGGCUAACUCUGUGCCAGCAGCCGCGGUAAUAC
rnacentral:rRNA from 1 species